GAUGAACGCUAGCUACAGGCUUAACACAUGCAAGUCGAGGGGUUCCAAAGGAGCUUGCUUCUUUGGGUGACGACCGGCGCACGGGUGAGUAACGCGUAUCCGACCUGCCCAUGACUCGGGCACAGCCGCUCGAAAGAGCGAUUGAUUCCCGAUAUGUCUAUGAAGUAGAUUCAUGGAUGAAAGAUUCAUCGGUCAUGGAUGGGGAUGCGUAAGAUUAGGUAGUAGGCGGGGUAACGGUCCACCUAGCCGACGAUCAGUAGGGGUUCUGAGAGGAAGGUCCCCCACACUGGAACUGAGACACGGUCCAGACUCCUACGGGAGGCAGCAGUGAGGAAUAUUGGUCAAUGGGCGCGAGCCUGAACCAGCCAAAGUAGCGUGCAGGA
rnacentral:rRNA from 1 species